GUGCUCACUCGGCAGCACACAUACUAAAAUUGGAACCAUACAGAGAUUAGCAUGGGCCCUGCUCAAAGAUGACAUGAAAAUUCAUGAAGUGUUCCAUAUAAAA
rnacentral:snRNA from 1 species